GGAGAGGUGGGAGAGUGGCUUAAUCCAGCAGUUUGCUAAACUGCCGUACCUGUAAAGGGUACCGGGGGUUCGAAUCCCCCUCUCUCCGCCA
rnacentral:tRNA from 2 species